UACGAAGGGGGCUAGCGUUGUUCGGAAUUACUGGGCGUAAAGCGCACGUAGGCGGACAUUUUAAGUCAGGGGGUGAAAUCCCAGAGCUCAACUCUGGAACUGCCUUUGAUACUGGGUGUCUUGAGUAUGGAAGAGGUGAGUGGAAUUCCGAGUGUAGAGGUGAAAAUUCGUAGAUAUUCGGAGGAACACCAGUGGCGAAGGCGGCUCACUGGUCCAUUACUGA
rnacentral:rRNA from 1 species